rnacentral:rRNA from 1 species
UCUUUUCCUCGUGUGCCAGCAGCCGCGGUAAUACGGAAGGUCCGGGCGUUAUCCGGAUUUAUUGGGUUUAAAGGGAGCGUAGGCCGGAGAUUAAGCGUGUUGUGAAAUGUAGACGCUCAACGUCUGCACUGCAGCGCGAACUGGUUUCCUUGAGUACGCACAAAGUGGGCGGAAUUCGUGGUGUAGCGGUGAAAUGCUUAGAUAUCACGAAGAACUCCGAUUGCGAAGGCAGCUCACUGGAGCGCAACUGACGCUGAAGCUCGAAAGUGCGGGUAUCGAACAGG